UUCUUAUGAAAAGCAGUCAGUGCUGCCAUGAAAAUACUGUCACGAUUUACUGCCUCCUCAUGAGACCCAGGGCUAAGCCAAAGGGAUACCAUGCACCCUAAACCUCCUCAUAGCUGCUGCCUCUGAAACUCGACUCUGUAAUUUGGCUUUGGAUUCACCUUGAAAACAUCCCCUCUGAACAUCAGAAGUCCACUUGGUCCCCGAACAGUGUAUUAACUUCUAACAUUUCUGACUUCCAGUCAUGGAGAUUUCAAAACCAAUUGCAUAUAGCAAUGAAGCUUUUCACUUUUAAUGGAACAUUUAGGAGAAGGGCGGCUUUUCCUAUUUUCUGUGUUAUCUUCAGCCUGUUAACUGUUGUCAGCCCUGGAGAGAAACCAUCCCUUCUCCUUAAAAACAUGAACCACAUACUAAGUUGCUUCUUGCCUCUUAAAGAUUCAGGUCACUCAGGUACAUCAGACUGAGACAGGACGCUCAGGUACAUCAUACUGAGACAGGACACUCAGGUACAUGAUACUGAGACAAACACUCAGGUACAUCAUACUGAGACAGGACGCUCAGGUACAUCACACCGAGACAGGACAUGUUGAUUGUUGGUGUGUAUUUCUCCCAAGCCACCACUCAAACCAGUGUUUGAUUUCCAUGGAGGUUGGCUGAUGGCUUUUAGCUUGAGCCCCAACAGUGUGACUUCAUACAAGGCAAUUUCUUCAGAAAUAUCAUGGAACUUCAGGGACAUUAUAUUAUUAAAUUAAAAAAACCUAAUAUGUUAAUUUUUUCAUUAAAGUUUAUGAGUUUACUGAGUUUUUCUUUUCCAAAAUAGUUAAUGAGCUUUUGAGUCAUGUUUUUUAUGAAAGGAUUGACUUUCUCAUGGCGUCCAACUCUGUAGAUAAUCAUCCGAAACAGAUUUGACUGUAUUUGUUUAACAAAAGUCUGCCUAAACCAAACUCUGCCCUGAAUUUUUUGUUUUCCACACGUAUGUGCUAAAUCUGUGUAAUUUGGUAGUUUGUCUCUCCAGAACCACUGUUGGUCUUGUGUCACUAAUCAGCAGAGGCAGCAGUCUGACGGGUCCACAGAGACAAGGGAGGCAGCGGGAGGAAUGCAGUGGCCAGGCAGGUGAGGGACCUCAGGACCAGCAGCUCAGCCGCAUCCUUGCAUGCAGUGGCCAGGCAGGUGAGGGACCUCAGGACCAGCAGCUCAGCCGCAUCCUUGCAUGCAGUGGCCAGGCAGGUGAGGGACCUCAGGACCAGCAGCUCAGCCGCAUCCUUGCAUGCAGUGGCCAGGCAGGUGAGGGACCUCAGGACCAGCAGCUCAGCCGCAUCCUUGCAUGCAGUGGCCAGGCAGGUGAGGGACCUCAGGACCAGCAGCUCAGCCGCAUCCUUGCAUGCAGUGGCCAGGCAGGUGAGGGACCUCAGGACCAGCAGCUCAGCCGCAUCCUUGCAUGCAGUGGCCAGGCAGGUGAGGGACCUCAGGACCAGCAGCUCAGCCGCAUCCUUGCAUGCAGUGGCCAGGCAGUUGAGGCACCUCAGGACCAGCAGCUCAGCUGCAUCCUUCUCUUUUCCCAAGGUCGCACUGAGCAAGUCAGGAUGGUGAAGAAAGUCUCCAUCUCCAAACUGAACACAGGAUUUGUUGAGGUGGCCUCCUGGAGCCUAAGUGUGUUUGGGGUGAUAUCUACAAACUUCCAUCACUGCUUCACUGGUGGCCUUUGGAGAAUCACCAUUUUUUUUCGGUCUUGUUCUGUGGGAUAUAUUCUGAAAAAAUAGGACAAAUGCUAAAAUAGCGAUGUCAAAUUUAAGUUUUUCAUAGAAAUAGCAUAGUAGGGAACUAUACUCAUUUUUAUAAGGAAUACAUUUAAUCGUUACUCUUUCCCUUCCUUUUUUCUUUCCUUAAGAAAUAUUGAACGUUGAUUAUGUACAAAGAAUAGAAUAUGAUGGGAAACAAUACAAGUACCUUAUUACAUAUCGCAUAGUAUAAAUCUUUAAAUUGUGACUAUAAAUUAAACAGAGCCCCUUGAUGUCAUGGCUCAUGCCUGUAAUCCCAGCACUUUGGGAGGCCAAGGCAGGUGGAUCACUUGAGCCCAGGAAUUCAGGACUAGCCUGGGCAACAUGGCAAAACCCUGUCUCUACAAAAUGUACAAAAAUUAGCCAGGCAUGAUGGCUCACGGCUUCAGUCCCAGCUACGUGGGAGGCUGAGGAAGGAGGAUCACUUGAGCCCUGGAGAUUGAGGCUGCAGUGAGCCAUGACUGUGCCACUGCACUCCAGCCUGGGCAACAGAGUGAGACCUGUCUCAAUCAAUCAAUCAAUCAAUCAAUCAAUAAAACAGAGCAACUCAGCAAUAAUUAUAUAUUUAAUUAUUCUAAGUAUUAUAUUAUGUUUAAUAAUAUAAUUAUAUUUAAAUAUUAUAUAUUAUGUAACACAUCAAAGUGUAUCAUAUGAAGUUUUUUGUCUCCAUCAGUCUCUCUUAUUUUGAUAGUAAUGAUAAAACACUGGCCCAACUUAAUCCUCAGAAUGUGUUUAUUGAAUUAAAUGGUAGCCAUGGAAUUCAGAAGAACUUAUUUGAAGAGCUUUAAAAGAGAAAUAACACUUAUGAUUUUCCCUAUUACAAAAGUAUUUGUUCAUAGUAGAAAAUUGGAAAAUUCUGGGAAACAUAAGGAAUAAAAGAACAAUCAUGCCUAAUUCUAUCAUUCAGAGAUAGCAAUUACUACUAAUAUUUUGGCAUAUUUUCUCUAGCCUGUGUGUGUGUGUGUGUGUGUGUGUGUGUGUGUGUAUCUGUGUGUAUGUGUGUGUGUACACAAAGAAAAAGCCAGAGGAAAUGCCAUUUUUUUAUACAAAUAUAAAACAAAAAUGAGAUCUCACAAUAUACAUUGCUUUUAGACAUAUUCUUAAAAUUUAUAUCAUGAG
rnacentral:lncRNA from 1 species